UCCGGAAUGGUGUAGUGGUUAGCAUUUCUGCCUCUCAUGAACUGUCCAACCAACAGUUGAGUGUUCGCAGGAGACCGGGGUUCAAUUCCCCGUUCCGGAA
rnacentral:tRNA from 1 species